UACGAAGGGGGCUAGCGUUGCUCGGAAUUACUGGGCGUAAAGCGCACGUAGGCGGUCUUUUAAGUCGGGGGUGAAAUCCUGGAGCUCAACUCCAGAACUGCCUUCGAUACUGAGAGACUUGAGUCCGGGAGAGGUGAGUGGAACUGCGAGUGUAGAGUCGAAAUUCGUAGAUAUUCGCAAGAACACCAGUGGCGAAGGCGGCUCACUGGCCCGGUACUGACGCUGAGGUGCGAAAGCGUGGGGAGCAAACAGG
rnacentral:rRNA from 1 species